UCAGGCCUAACACAUGCAAGUCGAACGCCCUCUUCGGAGGGAGUGGCAGACGGGUGAGUAACGCGUGGGAACCUACCUAUCAGUACGGAACAACUCAGGGAAACUUGUGCUAAUACCGUAUACGUCCUUCGGGAGAAAGAUUUAUCGCUGAUAGAUGGGCCCGCGUUAGAUUAGCUAGUUGGUGAGGUAACGGCUCACCAAGGCGACGAUCUAUAGCUGGUCUGAGAGGAUGAUCAGCCACACUGGAACUGAGACACGGUCCAGACUCCUACGGGAGGCAGCAGUGGGGAAUAUUGGACAAUGGGCGCAAGCCUGAUCCAGCCAUGCCGCGUGAGUGAUGAAGGCCCUAGGGUUGUAAAGCUCUUUCAACGGUGAAGAUAAUGACGGUAGCCGUAGAAGAAGCCCCGGCUAACUUCGUGCCAGCAGCCGCGGUAAUACGAAGGGGGCGAGCGUUGUUCGGAAUCACUGGGCGUAAAGCGUACGUAGGCGGAUAGAUUAGUUAGGGGUGAAAUCCCGAGGCUCAACCUCGGAACUGCCUCUAAUACUGUCUAUCUAGAGAUCGAGAGAGGUGAGUGGAAUUCCUAGUGUAGAGGUGAAAUUCGUAGAUAUUAGGAAGAACACCAGUGGCGAAGGCGGCUCACUGGCUCGAUACUGACGCUGAGGUACGAAAGCGUGGGGAGCAAACAGGAUUAGAUACCCU
rnacentral:rRNA from 1 species